ACUUUCUUAUUCGUUCGGGAAGCAGCUAUGAGGGAAUUUUGCACAAUGGGCGCAAUCCGGAUGCAGCAACACCGCUUGAGGGAUGACGGCCUUCGGGUUGUAAACCUCUUUUUAGCAGGGAAGAAGCGAGAGUGACGGUACCUGCAGAAAAAGCACCGGCUAAUUACGUGCCAGCAGCCGCGGUAAUACGUAGGGUGCAAGCGUUAUCCGCAAUUAUUGGGCGUAAAGAGCUCGUAGGCGGUUUGUCGCGUCUGCUGUGAAAUUCCGAGGCUCAACCUCGGGCUUGCAGUGGGUACGGGCAGACUAGAGUGCGGUAGGGGAGAUUGGAAUUCCUGGUGUAGCGGUGGAAUGCGCAGAUAUCAGGAGGAACACCGAUGGCGAAGGCAGAUCUCUGGGCCGUAACUGACGCUGAGGAGCGAAAGGGUGGGGAGCAAACAGGCUUAGAUACCCUGGUAGUCCACCCCGUAAACGUUGGGAACUAGUUGUGGGGUCCUUUCCACGGAUUCCGUGACGCAGCUAACGCAUUAAGUUCCCCGCCUGGGGAGUACGGCCGCAAGGCUAAAACUCAAAGGAAUUGACGGGGACCCGCACAAGCGGCGGAGCAUGCGGAUUAAUUUGAUGCAACGCGAAGAACCUUACCAAGGCUUGACAUACACGAGAACGGGCCAGAAAUGGUCAACUUUUG
rnacentral:rRNA from 2 species